rnacentral:tRNA from 1 species
GUCCCUGUAGCUUAAUAGUAAAGCAUGACACUGAAGAUGUCAAGAUGGCUGUCCAAAGCACCCAAGGACA